rnacentral:tRNA from 1 species
GAAAUAUGCAACCCAAAGAUAAGCUUCUAACUUAAUCUUUAAGCUGUGAAAUUCAGUUUAUAUUUCU